AGUGAACGCUGGCGGUAGGCCUAACGCAUGCAAGUCGAACGGCAGCACAGUAAGAGCUUGCUCUUACGGGUGGCGAGUGGCGGACGGGUGAGGAAUACAUCGGAAUCUACUUUUUCGUGGGGGAUAACGUAGGGAAACUUACGCUAAUACCGCAUACGACCUACGGGUGAAAGCAGGGGAUCUUCGGACCUUGCGCGAUUGAAUGAGCCGAUGUCGGAUUAGCUAGUUGGCGGGGUAAAGGCCCACCAAGGCGACGAUCCGUAGCUGGUCUGAGAGGAUGAUCAGCCACACUGGAACUGAGACACGGUCCAGACUCCUACGGGAGGCAGCAGUGGGGAAUAUUGGACAAUGGGCGCAGGCCUGAUCCAGCCAUACCGCGUGGGUGAAGAAGGCCUUCGGGUUGUAAAGCCCUUUUGUUGGGAAAGAAAAGCAGCAGGUUAAUACCCCGCUGUUCUGACGGUACCCAAAGAAUAAGCACCGGCUAACUUCGUG
rnacentral:rRNA from 1 species